rnacentral:rRNA from 1 species
GACGAACGCUGGCGGCGUGCCUAAUACAUGCAAGUGGGACGCAAGGGAACACACUGUGCUUGCACACCGUGUUUUCUUGAGUCGCGAACGGGUGAGUAACGCGUAGGUAACCUGCCUAUUAGCGGGGGAUAACUAUUGGAAACGAUAGCUAAUACCGCAUAAUAUUAAUUAUUGCAUGAUAAUUGAUUGAAAGAUGCAAGCGCAUCACUAGUAGAUGGACCUGCGUUGUAUUAGCUAGUUGGUAAGGUAAGAGCUUACCAAGGCGACGAUACAUAGCCGACCUGAGAGGGUGAUCGGCCACACUGGGACUGAGACACGGCCCAGACUCCUACGGGAGGCAGCAGUAGGGAAUCUUCGGCAAUGGACGAAAGUCUGACCGAGCAACGCCGCGUGAGUGAAGAAGGUUUUCGGAUCGUAAAGCUCUGUUGUAAGUCAAAGAAACGUGUGUGAG